rnacentral:rRNA from 1 species
CGGGAGAUGCACAGGGAAGAGAUUUCGGUCGAAUCCAGUGUAUCUUUAGUGGCGGACGGGUGAGUAACGCGUGGGUAACCUGCCAUAUACUGGGGGAUAACACUUAGAAAUAGGUGCUAAUACCGCAUAAGCGCACGGUCCCGCAUGGGACAGUGUGAAAAACUCCGGUGGUAUAUGAUGGACCCGCGUCUGAUUAGCUGGUUGGCGGGGUAACGGCCCACCAAGGCGACGAUCAGUAGCCGGCCUGAGAGGGUGGACGGCCACAUUGGGACUGAGACACGGCCCAAACUCCUACGGGAGGCAGCAGUGGGGGAUAUUGGACAAUGGGGGGAACCCUGAUCCAGCGACGCCGCGUGAGUGAAGAAGUAUCUCGGUAUGUAAAGCUCUAUCAGCAGGGAAGAAAGAAAUGACGGUACCUGAGUAAGAAGCCCCGGCUAACUACGUGCCAGCAGCCGCGGUAAUACGUAGGGGGCAAGCGUUAUCCGGAAUUACUGGGUGUAAAGGGAGCGUAGACGGUGAUGUAAGUCUGGAGUGAAAGGCGGGGGCCCAACCCCCGGACUGCUCUGGAAACUAUAUGACUGGAGUGCAGGAGAGGUAAGCGGAAUUCCUAGUGUAGCGGUGAAAUGCGUAGAUAUUAGGAGGAACACCAGUGGCGAAGGCGGCUUACUGGACUGUAACUGACGUUGAGGCUCGAAAGCGUGGGGAGCAAACAGGAUUAGAUACCCUGGUAGUCCACGCCGUAAACGAUGAUCACUAGGUGUGGGUGGGUAUGGACCCAUCGGUG